GGGAAAGCUACGGCGAGUACGGAAGGCAGUGGAGGAACUUCCAAGAAAAGUUUCUAACGUUAAGUAUAUAUGGCCCGUACCGAAAAUGGACACACAUGGGUGAGGAGAGAAUCCUAAGGUGAGCGAGAGAACUAUAGCUAAGGAACUCUGCAAAAUGACUCCGUAACUUAGGGAGAAGGAGUGCUCAUAGAGAUAUGAGCCGCAGUGAAACGGCCCAAGCGACUGUUUACCAAAAACACAGCUCUCUGCUAAGCCGCAAGGCGAAGUAUAGGGGGUGACGCCUGCCCGGUGCUGGAAGGUUAAGGGGAGGGGUUAACGCAAGUGAAGCCCUGAACUGAAGCCCCAGUAAACGGCGGCCGUAACCAUAACGGUCCUAAGGUAGCGAAAUUCCUUGUCAGGUAAGUUCUGACCCGCACGAAAGGCGUAACGAUUUGGGCGCUGUCUCAGCUGUAGACUCGGUGAAGUCUUAGUACCUGUGAAGAUGCAGGUUACCCGCGACUAGACGGAAAGACCCCAUGGAGCUUCACUGCAGGUUGAUAUUGGGAUUUGAUGCAGCAUGUACAGGAUGGGUAGGAGGCAAAGAGAUGGAUACGCCAGUAUUCAAGGAGCCGCUGUUGGGAUACUACCCCUGUUGUAUUGGAUUUCUAACCGGACGACGUAGAGCCGUUGACGGGACAGUGUCAGUCGGGCAGUUUGACUGGGGCGGUCGCCUCCCAAAGAGUAACGGAGGCGCCCAAAGAUACCCUCAGCUUGGAUGGAAACCAAGCGCAGAGUGCAAAGGCAAAAGGGUGUUUGACUGCGAGACCCACAAGUCGAGCAGGGACGAAAGUCGGGCUUAGUGAUCCGGCGGUGCUGAAUGGAAAGGCCGUCGCUCAACGGAUAAAAGCUACCCUGGGGAUAACAGGCUGAUCUCCCCCAAGAGUUCACAUCGACGGGGAGGUUUGGCACCUCGAUGUCGGCUCAUCGCAUCCUGGAGCUGAAGUCGGUUCCAAGGGUUGGGCUGUUCGCCCAUUAAAGCGGUACGCGAGCUGGGUUCAGAACGUCGUGAGACAGUUCGGUCCCUAUCUGUCGUGGGCGCAGGAAAUUUGAGAAGAGCUGUCCUCAGUACGAGAGGACCGGGAUGGACGCAUCAAUGGUGGACCAGUUGUCACGCCAGUGGCAUAGCUGGGUAGCUAAAUGCGGAAGGGAUAAACGCUGAAGGCAUCUAAGUGUGAAACCCACUUCAAGAUGAGAUUUCCCAUUGCGCAAGCAAGUAAGACCCCUUAAAGACGAUAAGGUAGAUAGGUCAGGAGUGUAAGCAUGGUGACAUGUUAAGCGGACUGAUACUAAUAGGUCGAGGGCUUGACCG
rnacentral:rRNA from 1 species